UGGGGAAUUUUGCACAAUGGGGGAAACCCUGAUGCAGCGACGCCGCGUGAUUUAGAAGGCCUUCGGGUUGUAAAAAUCUUUUCUAUGGGAAGAAAAUGACAGUACUAUAGGAAUAAGGACCGGCUAAUUACGUGCCAGCAGCCGCGGUAAUACGUAAGGUCCGAGCGUUGUCCGGAAUCAUUGUGCGUAAAGGGUACGUAGGCGGGUAAGCAAGUUAGAAGUGAAAUCCUAUAGCUCAACUAUAGUAAGCUUUUAAAACUGCUCAUCUUGUGGUAUGGAAGGGAAAUUGGACUUCCUGGUGUAGCGGUGAAAUGCGCACAUAAUAAGAGGAAUACCGGUGGCGAAGGCGACUUUCUGGACAUAACCUGACGCAGAGGUACGAAAGCGUGAGUAGCAAGCACG
rnacentral:rRNA from 1 species